CACGGAAUUAGCCGGUCCUUAUUCAUGCGGUACCUGCAAUAUCUCACACGUGAAACAUUUUAUCCCCGCAUAAAAGGAGUUUACAACCCAUAGGGCAGUCGUCCUCCACGCUACUUGGCUGGUCCAGGCUUCCGCCCAUUGACCAAUAUUCCUCACUGCUGCCUCCCGUAGGAGUUUGGGCCGUGUCUCAGUCCCAAUGUGGGGGGCCUUCCUCUCAGAACCCCUACCGAUCAAAGCCUUGGUGAGCCGUUACCUCACCAACUAACUAAUCGGACGCAUCCCCAUCCGCUGCCGAAAAAAACUUUGCCCCGAAUCGGAUGCCGUCAACGGGGAUUAUGGGGUAUUAGUCCGGCUUUCACCGGGUUAUCCCCCAGCAGCGGGAAGGUUGGAUACGCGUUACUCACCCGUGCGCCGGUCGCCAUCACGGAUCGCAAGCAAUCCGCAUGAUGCCCCUCGACUUGCAUGUGUUAAGCCUGUAGCUAGCGUUCAUCCCGAGCCAGGAUCAAACUCU
rnacentral:rRNA from 1 species